rnacentral:rRNA from 1 species
GAUGAACGCUGGCGGCGUGCCUAAUACAUGCAAGUCGAACGCGCCGAGAAGGGAACUUGUUCCUUUCAACGCGAGUGGCGAACGGGUGAGUAACACGUGGGAAACCUACCCUUCAGCGGGGGAUAACCAUCGGAAACGAUGACUAAUACCGCAUAGUUGUUCCAGUCGCAUGACUGGAAUGGGAAAGACGGCUUCGGCUGUCACUGAAGGAUGGUCCCGCGGUGCAUUAGCUAGACGGUGGGGUAACGGCCUACCGUGGCUUUGAUGCAUAGCCGACCUGAGAGGGUGAUCGGCCACAUUGGGACUGAGACACGGCCCAAACUCCUACGGGAGGCAGCAGUAGGGAAUCUUCCGCAAUGGACGCAAGUCUGACGGAGCAACGCCGCGUGUGUGAAGAAGGUCUUCGGAUCGUAAAGCACUGUUAUCAGAGAAGAAGAGCAUAUAGAGUAACUGUUAUAGGUUUGACGGUAACUGAUCAGAAAGCCACGGCUAACUACGUG